rnacentral:lncRNA from 1 species
CUUGGAUGACCACCUGGAAAGGUGGCUCCAGUCCAGUGUUGCAUGACAGCGGGGGGGGGGGGGGGGGGCAGACCCUGGGUCCCCAGGAGGGGCUGCAGUGGCAGGAGGGGAUUCUCCUUUAGGGUCUUCAGAGCAACACACACACAUGCACACCACAUAUCUCAUAUUUGAUUUUCCAGUUCAUCCUCGUACACCAAGACAGCUGCACACACAAGUGACUUUAGACUCUGAAAUUCCCUCUCACUGCCCAAAGCUACAUAGAAUCUGCAUGCACAAUAAGUCACAAGUGCCAUGGUUUCUCAUUACUCAAUUUUCUUGGCUCGGGUUCAAAGUAUUCAUCAGCUCGUCUUCUCCAUCUCUCCUCCUCCUCCCAGUUCUCGUGGGUGGAUUGCCUCUCUGGCUCUCUUCCUUCAGAACCUUCCACUUUACAUAAACUCACUCUCACCCCCUUCCCAUCCUGCGGGCCCUGACCCCUCUUCCCAAGCCCCCUUCUCGGUCACCCUCUUCCAGACACGAAGCUCUUUUAGAAAACAUCUUUCCUCGUUACCUCGUUAGUGUCUUCUCUCCUUCCACAAGAAUUCCCGCAGAUUCCUUCCCUUUGCGCCGAAAGGGCUGACUGCUGGCCUUUACAAUUCUAGAAGCCAGAAGGACUUGGAAUGAGAAGCACGAAUACUCCCACUCUCCUUCCUUCCACCCGUGUGACCCAAU